rnacentral:rRNA from 1 species
AGUGAACGCUGGCGGCAGGCCUAACACAUGCAAGUCGAACGGCAGCACAGUAAUAGCUUGCCCUUACGGGUGGCGAGUGGCGGACGGGUGAGGAAUACAUCCGAAUCUACUUUUUCGGGGGGGAUAACGGAGGGAAACUUACGCUAAUACCGCAUACGACCUACGGGUGAAAGCAUGGGAUCUUCGGACCUUGCGCGAUUGAAUGAGCCGAUGUCGGAUUAGCUAGUUGGCGGGGUAAAGGCCCACCAAGGCGACGAUCCGUAGCUGGUCUGAGAGGAUGAUCAGCCACACUGGAACUGAGACACGGUCCAGGCUACUAAGGGAGGCAGCAGUGGGGAAUAUUGGACAAUGGGCGCAAGCCUGAUCCAGCCAUGCCGCGUGGGUGAAGAAGGGCUUCGGGUUGUAAAGCCGUUUUGCUGGGAAAGAAAAGCAGCAGGUUAAUACCGCGCUGUUCUGACGGUACCCAAAGAAUAAGCACCGGCUAACUUCGUG